AUUGAACGCUGGCGGCAGGCUUAACACAUGCAAGUCGAGCGGAGAUGAGGUGCUUGCACCUUAUCUUAGCGGCGGACGGGUGAGUAAUGCUUAGGAAUCUGCCUAUUAGUGGGGGACAACAUUCCGAAAGGAAUGCUAAUACCGCAUACGUCCUACGGGAGAAAGCAGGGGAUCUUCGGACCUUGCGCUAAUAGAUGAGCCUAAGUCGGAUUAGUUAGUUGGUGGGGUAAAGGCCUACCAAGGCGACGAUCUGUAGCGGGUCUGAGAGGAUGAUCCGCCACACUGGGACUGAGACACGGCCCAGACUCCUACGGGAGGCAGCAGUGGGGAAUAUUGGACAAUGGGGGGAACCCUGAUCCAGCCAUGCCGCGUGUGUGAAGAAGGCCUUAUGGUUGUAAAGCACUUUAAGCGAGGAGGAGGCUACUGAGACUAAUACUCUUGGAUAGUGGACGUUACUCGCAGAAUAAGCACCGGCUAACUCUGUGCCAGCAGCCGCCGUAAUAC
rnacentral:rRNA from 1 species